UACGGGGGGGGCAAGCGUUGUUCGGAAUUACUGGGCGUAAAGGGCUCGUAGGCGGCCAACUAAGUCAGACGUGAAAUCCCUCGGCUUAACCGGGGAACUGCGUCUGAUACUGGAUGGCUUGAGUUCGGGAGAGGGAUGCGGAAUUCCAGGUGUAGCGGUGAAAUGCGUAGAUAUCUGGAGGAACACCGGUGGCGAAGGCGGCUCACUGGACUGGUAUUGACGCUGAGGUGCGAAAGCGUGGGGAGCAAACAGG
rnacentral:rRNA from 1 species